AUCACCUGAAGAAACAGAGGCCAAAAAUGUGGCCUGGGAAUGUUUAUGAAAAUUGAAGUUUAAAACAAAUAUUUUUAAAAUAAAAGGACUGAACUCCAAGGGCAAGAAACCUAGAAACACUCAAUAGUGGCAGCAGAGUUGGGUGCAGGAGGUCUCAACUGCCUUCUUCUGGGACUCAUAUAACGUUGCAGAUUGAAGUUUGAAGAGAGCCUUUCAGCUGAUGCUAACCUAAAUCACUCCCUGUUCUAGGGACAGGUUCCUGGCGAGCUCACUGCAGCACAGCAAACUGGCCUCUGCUGUUCACAUUCUUCAUCAGCCUUAAGCUACUACUGCUGCUUAUCU
rnacentral:lncRNA from 1 species